rnacentral:rRNA from 1 species
GACGAACGCUGGCGGCGUGCUUAACACAUGCAAGUCGAACGAAGUGGCGGACUGGUGAGUAAUACGUGGGUAACCUGCCCUCCUUUUUGGGAUAAGCCUUGGAAACGGGGUCUAAUACCGAAUAAAGGGGGAUGGGCUGGCGGCCUAUCAGGUUGUGGGUGGGGUGAUGGGCUACCAAGGCGGUGACGGGUAGCCGGCCUGAGAAGGUGAACUGCGACUGUGGGACUGGGAGACCGCCCAGAGUCGUACGGGGGGCAGAAGUGGGGGAAAUUGCACAAUGGGCGAAGGCCCGAUGCAGCGUCGGCGCGGGGGGGAUGAAGGCUUUCGGGUUGUAAACGUCUGGCGCAAGCGAGCCGGUAGGUGGAGAAGAAGCGCCGGCUAACUACGUGCCAGCCGCCGCGGUAAUUC